GCAAGGGAGGGCCAACAUCUUUGACUCUUCAAAUCUCUGUGCUGAAGAAAAUGGAGCAAUACCAACAAAAAUUGGGAGUUUGGAACUGGAAAGUAAACAGGAAAUACUGCUAAAAUACCCAGUUAAAUCUUACAGCCAGACUAUGAGAAUGGAGUUAGUACUACCAGCAUUUUAUAACAGCCCUUCCCAUCAAAACACAGAAAUUCAUGGCUUGUUCGAAGCUAGGCUCCUCCUUUCAACCUGCUGAAGACCAACUCAUGACCAGAAUCUCUGGGUAACAACUACUGCCUUGAGGCAUUGAGAGUUGAGCUGCAUUCUGACAGUUGAGGGGAAUGAGCUUCCUGGGCAGAGUUUCAGGAGCAUUGCUAAGUUGCUAACUUUUCUGUUUAGAACAUGCAAUGCUCUUGUGAAAAAAAAAAAUCUGACGUUUUAAAAUUGAAGAGCUGAGAGUUUCCAGAGCUGAGUUCAAUCAAGUCUUAAGUAAUGCAGAAAAUUUGAAAACCAUAAAUGCUGCAAAGACAAGGUAGAGAAAACAUGAGCUUUGGAAUCACACAGUACUGGGUUCAAGUUCUAGCAUUUGCAUGUACCAGCUUGAGUGACCAUGGGUGUGCUGUGCUCCCUAGGUCUGAAGGCCUUGUGAAUGACUGACUUCACCCUUCUGCACACUGAUCUUCCUAACAAUGUUCCAAAAGGUGUCUACUGAUUCACGGGAAAGUCUUGACCACUGCCAGGAUGAUACAGUUCUUUGUAGAUCCCACUAUGGCUGAGAUUGACUGAGAAAUCCACAAUGUUGAAAACGAGAACACUAAGCUCCUUCUCUGAGACACUGACUCUGGCCAGUCCAACUUACUCAGAGAUAAGAUGAGACCAAAACACGUAAUGAAUGAACAAGAAAUGAUCCUUUGGAAUUUUAGUUAUUUGAGCAGCUUAGUUUAGAGAAUUCCUUCUUCCUUUUCAGACAAGCAGUUCACACGCCCUAAGUGGAAAACCUGGAACCAGAGUGAAGACUAGAUAAGGCAGCUUUUCUCCUGAGGGAGGGAGGAGGGGGCAUGAUGAGGCCAUGUAGUUGACAUUGGUAUUGUGUAGCUGAGCUGGCACAGAAUACAGCAGAGUAUCCCCCUGACUAUUCCUAUUUCAAAGAUAUAUAAUACUUUCACCACCUCCUUUUCACUAUUUUUUAUAUCUGGAUGGGACAUAUUAAGUGGCCUCACAGUGUAAUGAGUUUCAAUGUCCUCCUG
rnacentral:lncRNA from 1 species